rfam:Homo sapiens chromosome 6, GRCh38 reference primary assembly.
GCUGGGCGUGGUGGUGCACGCCUGUAGUCCCAGCUACUUAGGAAGCCGAGGCAGGAGAAUAGCUUGAACCUGGGAGGCAAAGGGUGCAGUGAGCCAAGAUCGCGCCACUGCACUCCAGCCUGGGCGACAGGGCAAGACUCUGUCUCUC